rnacentral:rRNA from 1 species
UUGACCUCGGAUCAGGUAGGGAUACCCGCUGAACUUAAGCAUAUCAAUAAGCGGAGGAAAAGAAACCAACCGGGAUUGCCCCAGUAACGGCGAGUGAAGCGGCAAGAGCUCAAAUUUGAAAUCUGGCCCCCCCGGGGGUCCGAGUUGUAAUUUGCAGAGGAUGCUUCGGGUGCGGCCCCUGCCUAAGUGCCCUGGAACGGGCCGUCAGAGAGGGUGAGAAUCCCGUCCUGGGCAGGGUGCCCGUGCCCGUGUGAAGCUCCUUCGACGAGUCGAGUUGUUUGGGAAUGCAGCUCUAAAUGGGUGGUAAAUUUCAUCUAAAGCUAAAUACCGGCCGGAGACCGAUAGCGCACAAGUAGAGUGAUCGAAAGAUGAAAAGCACUUUGAAAAGAGAGUUAAACAGCACGUGAAAUUGUUGAAAGGGAAGCGCUUGCGACCAGACUCGCCCCCGGGGUUCAGCCAGCAUUCGUGCUGGUGUACUUCCCCGGGGGCGGGCCAGCGUCGGUUUGGGCGGCCGGUCAAAGGCCCCGGGAAUGUGUCGCCCUCCGGGGCGUCUUAUAGCCCGGGGUGCAAUGCGGCCAGCCCGGACCGAGGAACGCGCUUCGGCACGGACGCUGGCGUAAUGGUCGCAAACGACC